rnacentral:rRNA from 1 species
UACGGAGGGGGCUAGCGUUGUUCGGAAUUAUUGGGCGUAAAGGGCUCGUAGGCGGUUUGUUGCGUCGGGAGUGAAAACUCAGGGCUUAACCCUGAGCCUGCUUCCGAUACGGGCAGACUAGAGGUAUGCAGGGGAGAACGGAAUUCCUGGUGUAGCGGUGAAAUGCGCAGAUAUCAGGAGGAACACCGGUGGCGAAGGCGGUUCUCUGGGCAUUACCUGACGCUGAGGAGCGAAAGUGUGGGGAGCGAACAGG